rnacentral:piRNA from 1 species
UGCCUCUAUGAAUGGUUGUUGCCCAGU